AUAGGUUUAAUAAUGACUAUUUAUAUUUUGUUAUAAUUAUGUUCUUUAUAUUUUUUGAUUUUAUUAAUAUUUUAAUUUUUUAUUAAAACAUUUUUUUUUAAUUAUUUUUGGUAAGAGAUAAUGUUUCAAUUAGUAUUAUUUAUAAUUAUAAUUUAGGAAUUCGGCAAUUUUUAAUUUCACCUGUUUAUUAAAAACAUGUCUUUUUGGUAUUUAUUUAAAGUCGGGCCUGCCCAAUGAUUUAUAUUUAAUGGCUGCAGUAUUUUAACUGUACGAAGGUAGCAUAAUCAUUUGUUUAAUAAUUUUAGACUAGUAUGAAAGGUUUUAUGAGAAUUAAACUUUCUUAUUUAUAUAAAUAAGAAAUUAUUUUUUUAGUUAAAAAACUUAAAUUUUUUUAUAGGACGAGAAGACCCUAUAGAACUUAAAUAAUUAUAUAAUCAAAUUUAAUUAUAUAAUUGUUUAAUUGGGGUGAUUUUGAUUUUGUAUUAACAAUUUUUUUAUUUUGUCAUUGAUUUUUGAUUUUUGUGAUCCAAUUUUUUUGAUUAUAAGAUUAAGUUACCUUAGGGAUAACAGCGUAAUUUAAUUGGAGAGUUCUUAUCGAUAAUUUAAGUUUGCGACCUCGAUGUUGAAUUAAGAUUAAAAUUAGGGGUAGAUUUUUAUAUUUUUGGUCUGUUCGACCAUUUGUUUCUUACAUGAUUUGAGUUUAGACCGGCGUGAGCCAGGUCGGUUUCUAUCCUUAAUGUUAUAAUAUUAUUUUUUAGUACGAGAGGACCAAGAAUUUAAUUAAUAUUUU
rnacentral:rRNA from 1 species